GAUGAACGCUGGCGGCGUGCCUAAUACAUGCAAGUCGAGCGAACGGACGAGGAGCUUGCUGCUCUGAUGUGAGCGGCGCAGGGGAGAGUAACACGUGUAAAACGUACCUGUAAUAGUGGGAAAACUUCGGGAAACGGGAUCUAAUAGCGGAGAAUAUUUUGAAGCGCAGGGGUCAAAAGUGAAAGACGGUGUUUGUGUCACUUAUAGAGGGAUCCGCGCUGCAUUGGGGAGUUGGUGAGGUAACGGGUUACCAAGGCAACGAUGCAUAGCCGACCUGUGAGGCUGGUCGGCCACCUUGGAACGGAGACACCGUCCUGACGACUACGGGAGGCCGCAGUCGGCAAUCUGCCGCAAUGGGCGAAAGCCUGACGGAGCAACGCCACGUGAGAGACGAAGGUCCUCGGAGCGUAAAACUCUGUUAUUAGGGGAGAACCUAUGUCUCCGUAACUGUGCCCAUCUUGACGGUAACUAAUCAGAAAGCCCCGGCUAACUACGUG
rnacentral:rRNA from 1 species